UACAAUUGACUUCCAAUCAGUUAGCUCCAGAUCAACCUGGAAAGAAGUA
rnacentral:tRNA from 1 species